rnacentral:rRNA from 1 species
GACGAACGCUGGCGGCGUGCCUAAUACAUGCAAGUAGAACGCACAGUUUAUACCGUAGCUUGCUACACCAUAAACUGUGAGUUGCGAACGGGUGAGUAACGCGUAGGUAACCUGCCUGGUAGCGGGGGAUAACUAUUGGAAACGAUAGCUAAUACCGCAUAAUAUUGAUUAUUGCAUGAUAAUUGAUUGAAAGAUGCUAUUGCAUCACUACCAGAUGGACCUGCGUUGUAUUAGGUAGUAGGGGAGGUAACGGCUCAACUAGGCGACGAUACAUAGCCGACCUGGUAGGGUGGUCGGCCACACUGGGACUGAGACACGGCCCAGACUCCUACGGGAGGCAGCAGUAGGGAAUCUUCGGCAAUGGACGAAAGUCUGACCGAGCAACGCCGCGUGAGUGAAGAAGGUUUUCGGAUCGUAAAGCUCUGUUGUAAGAGAAGAACGGGUGUGAGAGUGGAAAGUUCACACUGUGACGGUAUCUUACCAGAAAGGGACGGCUAACUACGUG